rnacentral:rRNA from 1 species
UGGGGAAUUUUGGACAAUGGGGGAAACCCUGAUCCAGCCAUCCCGCGUGUGCGAUGAAGGCCUUCGGGUUGUAAAGCACUUUUGGCAGGAAAGAAACGUCUCGGGUUAAUACCCCGGGAAACUGACGGUACCUGCAGAAUAAGCACCGGCUAACUACGUG